rnacentral:rRNA from 1 species
AUUGAACGCUGGCGGCAGGCCUAACACAUGCAAGUCGAACGAGUGGCGGACGGGUGAGUAAUGUCUGGGAAACUGCCUGAUGGAGGGGGAUAACUACUGGAAACGGUAGCUAAUACCGCAUACCAUCAGAUGUGCCCAGGUGGGAUUAGCUAGUUGGUGGGGUAACGGCUCACCAAGGCGACGAUCCCUAGCUGGUCUGAGAGGAUGACCAGCCAAACUGGAACUUGAGCACGGUCCCGACUCCUACGGGAGGCAGCAGUGGGGAAUAUUGGACAAUUGGCGGAAGCCCUAUUGAGCCAUGCCGGGGGUAUGGAAAAGGCCCUCGGGUUGUAAAAUACUUUCCGCGGGGAAGCGGUACCCGGAGGAAGAACACCGGCUUACUCCGUGCCAGCCGCCGCGGUAAUAC